AUGAACGCUGGCGGCGUGCUUAACACAUGCAAGUCGAACGAGAAAGGUAGCAAUACCAAGUACAGUGGCGCACGGGUGAGAAACGCGUGAGAAUCUCCCUUUAAGUGAAGAAUACCCUGGAGAAAUCCAGGCUAAUACUGCAUAAGCCCGCAAGGGGAAAGGUGGCCUCAAGCUACCGCUUAAAGAUGAGCUUGCGUCCUAUUAGCUAGUUGGUAGGGGUAAAGGCCUACCAAGGCACAGAUGGGUAGCCGACCUGAGAGGGUGAUCGGCCACACUGGAACUGAGACACGGUCCAGACUCCUACGGGAGGCAGCAGUGGGGAAUAUUGCACAAUGGGCGAAAGCCUGAUGCAGCGACGCCGCGUGGAGGAUGAAGGUUUUCGGAUUGUAAACUCCUGUUAAGUGGGAAGAAAGGCGCGUACCUAAUACGUACGUGAGAUGACGGUACCACUAGAGAAAGCACCGGCAAACUUCGUGCCAGCAGCCGCGGUAAUACGAAGGGUGCGAGCGUUAUUCGGAAUGACUGGGUGUAAAGAGCGUGGAGGCGGUUUGUUAAGUUAGUUGUUAAAUCGCCCGGCAUAACCGGGCACAUGCGAUUAAAACUGACAAGCUAGAGUGCGAGAGAGAAGGGUAGAAUUCUCGGAGUAGCGGUAAAAUGCGUAGAUCUCGAGAGGAAUACCGGUUGCGAAGGCGGCCUUUUGGCUCGUUACUGACGCUGGAGCGCGAAAGCGUGGGGAGCAAACAGGAUUAGAUACCCUGGUAGUCCACGCUGUAAACGAUGAUCACUGGAUGUGGGACUUGCUUAGCAGGUUCUGUGUCGAAGCUAACGCGUUAAGUGAUCCACCUGGAAAGUACGGUCGCAAGAUUAAAACUCAAAGGAAUUGACGGGGGUCCGCACAAGCGGUGGAACGUGUGGUUUAAUUCGACACUACGCGAGGAACCUUACCUGGGUUUGACAUGUAACUGCCACUGGUAGAAAUAUUGGGUUCCGUAGCAAUACGGACGGUUACACAGGUGCUGCAUGGCUGUCGUCAGCUCGUGUCGUGAGACGUCGGGUUAAGUCCUUGAACGAGCGCAACCCUUGUGGUUAGUUGCCUAUCGCAAGAUGGCACUCUAACCAGACUGCCUGGGAAACCAGGAGGAAGGUGGGGAUGACGUCAAGUCCUCAUGGCCCUUAUACCCAGGGCUACACACGUGUUACAAUGGCGAGGAACAGAGGGACGCAAGACCGCGAGGUGGAGCAAAUCCUACAAAACUCGUCUAAGUUCAGAUUGUAGUCUGCAACCCGACUACAUGAAGUUGAAAUCGCUAGUAAUCGCAUAUCAGAACGAUGCGGUGAAUGCGUUCUCGGACCUUGUAACACACCGCCCGUCACACCACGAAAGCCGUCUACCCCCGAAACUGUCUAAGCUAACUAGAAAUAGAGGCGGAUAGUGAAGGUGAAGAGGGUGAUUGGGGUG
rnacentral:rRNA from 1 species